AUUUUUCUGAUGAGAUUUUACUCUGACACCUCAUAUGAAUCAAUGUGAUUCCAACUAUUUGUAAUUAAUGAACUGAAGUU